rnacentral:lncRNA from 1 species
UGUGCAAGAAGUAGCAGCACGGGAAGCUUUUUUUGAAGAGUCUGCUAAGUGCAUAACUAUGCUCAUGGCAUUCAGGGCAGUCUGACCCACUCAUGCCAAAUCAGUAGAUGAUACCUUCUCCAGUUCUGGCAUGAUGGAAGGAUUUCAGGUGUGUGAAGGCCUCCUUGAAAAAACAAAAUGAAGUACCAGGGCAUUGUUUUGGAAAUGGAAAUGCACCCAGCAGUAGGAGAAAGACAUAAAGAAAGCAAGAAAAUAAAUACAAAUACUGAAACAGCUCCAGAUGAAAGGCAGUAAAAUGACUGCCUGC